rnacentral:tRNA from 1 species
GGGGCUGUAGCUCAGCUGGGAGAGCGCUGCCCUUGCAAGGCAGAGGUCACCGGUUCGAUCCCGGUCAGCUCCACCA